UACAGAGGUCCCGAGCGUUGUUCGGAUUCACUGGGCGUAAAGGGUGCGUAGGUGGCCUGAAAAGUUUGAUGUGAAAGCUCAGGGCUUAACCCUGAAAUGGCAUUGAAUACUGUCGGGCUGGAGGUUUGGAGGGGGGACUGGAAUUCUUGGUGUAGCAGUGAAAUGCGUAGAGAUCAGGAGGAACACCCGUGGCGAAGGCGGCUCUCUGGGUCGGCCCUGACGCUGAGGCGCGAAAGCGUGGGGAGCGAACGGG
rnacentral:rRNA from 1 species